AUGUCUAGUUACUGGGCCAAAAGGAGACGAAUAUUGAAAGGAGUUGAGAGGGACAAACAGGAAAUUGCAGCUGCAAACGAUGCUCUACUUGCUGUUAUUCCUGACUUUGACCAAGUAAAUCCUCCUGUUAAUGAACAUCAACAUGGAAUGGCUUCAACAAGCCAUGGACAAACUGUAACCCCUGAAGCACAGGAAAUAACUGUUGAUGAGGUGUAUGAACCUAGUGAAAUUUUUUCCUCAAGCACAGAAGAUAGUGAGGAGGAAGAGGAUUGCCUAAGGACACAAUUGGCAGGGUGGGCUAUUGACAACAUGAUCCCCCAUGUGGCACUGGAACCAGGUUUCUCCCCAGAAAUUCAGACUCCACUUCACAGAGCCAAGAGUUUGAGUACAAGACACUUGACUGGUUACUCGCCGCAGCAGUUUCUGGAUGAAAGGUGUCGAGCUCGUCAAGUACUAAGCUUUACACCCCCAGCAGCAAAUUUACCCUGGCAGCAUAUGGGUGAAAACGCUGGAGGAGAAAGUCAUCGCUCUGUAAUUGGCCCUUGGACUCCCCUGGCAUCUCGUGUACAGCAUGAAGUUUUCAGCUAUGAAGGUAUAUUUUAGGCCCAUGUCUUAGUGUCCAGUGUUUUAAAAGUAUUGAAAAUAGUGCCUUUAGGUGUUUUUUUUUUUGUUGUUGUUUUGUUUUUUAAUGUAGAUUUCCAGAGACUCCAGAAUGAAAAACAAGCCGUGAUGGAGGAGAACCAAGCCCUUAGGGAGGAGAACCAAGCUCUGAGGGAGGAGAACCAAGCUCUGAGGGAAAGCACUGCACGAGCAGGUAAGAACAUGCACAAAAAAGUCAAACUUAGGAAAGAGUAUGUGAUGUAUGUACAAAAUUACCAUAUGCCUUUCAUUUUGUAGCUUCGGAUGACAGCGGCUCACUUCAAGAGCAGGUGAAGCAAGUUGGGACAAUGUUGAAGACGUUUGCUCGCACUGGGCAAUCAGGUACAACUUGCAAACAACACCUGUGGUUGUUGGUUUAAUUCCCACUGGGGCCACCUAUACAUGUAGUAGACCUAGAUAUAAAUGUCAUAGUUUAGUAGUUGAGGGACCAGGACUGACUAUUAUUUUAUUUAACCCCUGUAGGUGCAGAUCAGACCUUAAUGCUGCGACGUCUUGGAGAGUUUGGCGAUGUUGUGCGUAGCAUGGACAACAAAAUGGACACUAUGCUGCAACAUUUCAGUGCCAAUGUGUCUGUUGGAGAGUUAUCCCUGCCAGGGGAUCUGUUACUCCCCCUAGACACCCAGGAAGAUUUGGUGUUGCUUGACAACAGUUUGAGGCAGGAUAAAGAGCUCCAGGAACGAUUUGUAAGUGUGCUGAUUUCGUUUAUAACUCCAUAGGGUAAUCUAAAAAGUAGAAUUAAGAUUGUACACUGCAUAUUCUACAGUCUGAAUCCAUAGCCUGUCACAUUUUAUAUUUAUGUAUGAUAAGCUUCAGAGAAAUGUAAUUUGUAACACUUUUUUUGGAUUUUCAGCUUCGGUUUUUGGCAAUCAAAUGUGGGAGGGACCUAAAGACAACCGUCUGGCGGAUGCUUCAAAGUAUCUUCUCUAAUCACCUUUCCAUCAAUACAACCUGGACUGGAGUUGGGGAUAAAGCAUGUUUUAGAGACAUGUUCCUGAAGACCAUUGUUCAAAGUAAGUUGGAUGUAAAAAAAAAAAAAAAAAAAAAAAAAUAUGUUUAGUAGAUGUGUAUGGCAUUAUGCCAUUCAAAUGGAAUGACAGAUCUGUAUUUUCUACAGGAGCCAUCCGGAAGAACCCGGCAACACAGGAUGCCACUGAUGAAGCCAUCCAGGUUAACGUUACGCGUUACCUGAAAGGAGCAUCUGACCGUGAAGGCGGAAAAAGGCGCCGCACAGCUGAGAGGGACCCACAGCCGACCCCUUAAACCUAGGCUGACUACUGACAUCCCAGCAUCACUGACAACUGGAACCCUUUCUUUAUCCUGCAGUCAGUAACAUCAAGACCCCUAAAGAAGCCAGAAGUGUCAGACUGCACUCCCCAAUCCACACUGUUCACUGUGGAUAUUAUCAUAGUGCUUAACUUAUUAUAUUGUUAAAUAUAGCUUGUAAAUCCUUGUGCCACAGGUCAGCAUUGCAGUUAUAUCUGUUCUACUACUUUUUUUACCUCAGUAUUUUUUAUAUAUAUUUGAAGAUGUUUAUCACAGAUACAAGAGACAUCUUGUACCCCAGGUCAGCAAUGCCAUUAUAAUGGUCUAUUCUACUCCAGAGCUUUAUUCUAAAUUAUUACCACUUAUCUUAUUGUUAGAAAUGGCUUGUAAAUGUGAUGUUAUACCUGAAUUUUUUUUGGUGUCCUGCACAUUCUUUGGUACCAGAUAUACUCAUUACUUAUGUUUUCUGGUAAUUCUUUUCAUGCCAGAGCUGACCUCUUUAUAUUAUUAACAAUUAUUGUAAGUGUUAUAAUUUGCUUGUAAGCUAAGGCUGUUUUUUUUUUUUUUUUACAAUUUAAUUGGAAACCUGCAUGUGUGUGUGUGUGUGUGUGUGUGUGUGUGUGUAUUUAUUUUAUUUUUUUCUCUUUUUUUCUGUUAUUUAUAUUUCAGGGAUCUGACAUCAUGUUUCAAUGACAGUUACUGUACUUUGAAAUGUGGAAUUAAAACGUCAAAUGGAAAUUUGUCUGGUUUGAUCAAUCAUUAUUCUUGAUAAACUGCAUUAUAUAUAUAAUAUAUAAUAUAUAUAUAAAUAAAUAAAUAAGCAAGCGGCGACCGAUCGCUCGAAAAUAGCGUUUGCCUCCGACGGGCCGCGGAAGGGUCGCCUUUGAUAUAACGGCGGCGGGACGGCGGUUGGCCCGCGGGCCGGCCGCGGAACGAAGGCGGUAGGAAGGCGGCUGCCGCUUCUAAAAAGCGGCUGCCGCCGGCGGUGCACCGUCAAACGUGUUUGCGAUUACGCUAUUCUGACGCUUCUACUGCCGCCGGAGCGCCGCCGGCGGUCCGCCGACUCAUUGCUAUCUGGGAUGUCACAGAACUCUUCCCGCGCUCUCCGUCAGAAUUCAAACAUUAACGGUCGAACUUGGCGGCUGUUCGCUUUCUUAUGUGUGAUUAUUUUCAUAUAACGUUUUGGGCACUUCCAUUUUAACAAAUAAAGUGAAAGUACCACAAAACAUGAAACGAAGAUGUCUUGGACGAGGAGAGCUCGUCCAAAUUUGUGGUAAGAAAUAAUAUCCUUUUAUUAUCAUAGUUAAGCUUAAUCGCGUUUGUGAACGUUACGUAAUUUGGAGCAAUUUAUUUAAUGAAAGUAGGUGUAUUCUGGUCGUCAUCGUGGACAUUGUGUCUCCACCAUUAUGCUUUUCAUCACUUAAAGGUCUUCAGGAUGUAAUUUUGAUUAAAUUUGGGCUUUGUCUGAUUCAAGGUAAUGUUAUACCCUCACUAAUCGCGAUGCGCUGUAUAAAUCCCCUUCAGACAUAGUAAACGGAU
ensembl:lncRNA